rnacentral:rRNA from 1 species
UACGAAGGGUGCAAGCGUUACUCGGAAUUACUGGGCGUAAAGCGUGCGCAGGCGGUUGUGCAAGACAGAUGUGAAAUUCCCGGGCUCAACCUGGGAACUGCAUUUGUGACUGCACGGCUAGAGUGUGUCAGAGGGGGGUAGAAUUCCACGUGUAGCGGUGAAAUGCGUAGAUAUGUGGAGGAAUACCGAUGGCGAAGGCAGCCCCCUGGGAUAACACUGACGCUCAUGCACGAAAGCGUGGGGAGCAAACAGG